rnacentral:rRNA from 1 species
UACGUAGGGGGCAAGCGUUGUCCGGAAUCAUUGGGCGUAAAGCGCGUGUAGGCGGCCUUGUAAGUCUGUUCUGAAAGCCCGGGGCUCAACCCCGGGAGGCGGAUGGAUACUGCAAGGCUCGAGUACGGAAGAGGCGAGUGGAAUUCCCGGUGUAGCGGUGAAAUGCGCAGAUAUCGGGAGGAACACCAAUGGCGAAGGCAGCUCGCUGGGACGUUACUGACGCUGAGGAGCGAAAGCGUGGGGAGCGAACAGG